rnacentral:rRNA from 2 species
GGUCUUGAGAGGAUGAUCAGUCACACUGGAACUGAGACACGGUCCAGACUCCUACGGGAGGCAGCAGUGGGGAAUAUUGGACAAUGGGCGAAAGCCUGAUCCAGCCAUGCCGCGUGUGUGAAGAAGGUCUUCGGAUUGUAAAGCACUUUAAGUUGGGAGGAAGGGCAGUAAGUUAAUACCUUGCUGUUUUGACGUUACCAACAGAAUAAGCACCGGCUAACUUCGUGCCAGCAGCCGCGGUAAUACGAAGGGUGCAAGCGUUAAUCGGAAUUACUGGGCGUAAAGCGCGCGUAGGUGGUUCAGCAAGUUGGAUGUGAAAUCCCCGGGCUCAACCUGGGAACUGCAUCCAAAACU